UGAUUAUCGGCGCAUACAUUUUUGU
rnacentral:piRNA from 1 species